rnacentral:misc_RNA from 1 species
AAGAAUGCGAUAUGCAAUGUGAAUUGCAGAACCACGAAUCAUCGGAUAUUUGAACGCAACUGGCACUAGCCAACUAGUAUACUUGUUUCAGUGUGCUCAAACAAAUAAACACAAUCUAAAUGUGGGAGAACCUCUCCCAUGAAAUACAUGCUCCUCGCAGCAGUCACAUUCAUAUGUGAGCUGUUAGUUGUAUACUUUACUUUAUACGCACCUGAAAUCAAGUAAGAUGACCCGCUGGACUUAA